rnacentral:rRNA from 1 species
CACGUAGGCGGCUUUUCAAGUCAGGGGUGAAAUCCCGGGGCUCAACCCCGGAACUGCCCUUGAAACUGGAUCGCUAGAAUACUGGAGAGGCAAGUGGAGUUCCGAGUGUAGAGGUGAAAUUCGUAGAUAUUCGGAAGAACACCAGUGGCGAAGGCGACUUGCUGGACAGUGAUUGACGCUGAGGUGCGAAAGCGUGGGGAGCAAACA